UACGUAGGGGGCAAGCGUUGUCCGGAAUCAUUGGGCGUAAAGAGCGCGUAGGCGGCCCUGUAAGUCCGCUGUGAAAGUCAAGGGCUCAACCCUUGAAUGCCGGUGGAUACUGCAGGGCUAGAGUCCGGAAGAGGCGAGUGGAAUUCCUGGUGUAGCGGUGAAAUGCGCAGAUAUCAGGAGGAACACCGAUGGCGAAGGCAGCUCGCUGGACGGUACUGACGCUGAGGCGCGAAGCGUGGGGAGCAAACAGG
rnacentral:rRNA from 1 species